GGGGAUGUAGCUCAGUUGGUAGAGUACUUGCCUCACACGCACAAGGCCCUGGGUUCAAUCCCCAGCACCACCA
rnacentral:tRNA from 1 species